AAAUGACUCUCGGCAACGGAUAUCUCGGCUCUUGCAUCGAUGAAGAACGUAGCGAAAUGCGAUACUUGGUGUGAAUUGCAGAAUCCCGUGAACCAUCGAGUCUUUGAACGCAAGUUGCGCCCGAAACCAUUAGGUUGAGGGCACGCCUGCCUGGGUGUCACAU
rnacentral:rRNA from 1 species